CCUACGGGAGGCAGCAGUGAGGAAUAUUGGUCAAUGGACGAGAGUCUGAACCAGCCAAGUCGCGUGAAGGAUGACUGCCCUAUGGGUUGUAAACUUCUUUUAUAUGGGAAUAAAAUGUUCCACGUGUGGGAUUUUGUAUGUACCAUAUGAAUAAGCAUCGGCUAACUCCGUGCCAGCAGCCGCGGUAAUACGGAGGAUCCGAGCGUUAUCCGGAUUUAUUGGGUUUAAAGGGAGCGUAGGGGGAUUGUUAAGUCAGUUGUGAAAGUUUGCGGCUCAACCGUAAAAUUGCAGUUGAAACUGGCAGUCUUGAGUAUAGUAGAGGUGGGCGGAAUGCGUGGUGUAGCGGUGAAAUGCUUAGAUAUCACGAAGAACUCCGAUUGCGAAGGCAGUUCACUGGACUGCAACUGACACUGAGGCUCGAAAGUGUGGGUAUCAAACAGGAUUAGAUACCCCUGUAGUC
rnacentral:rRNA from 1 species